rnacentral:rRNA from 1 species
UUGAAGGUUGGGUAACACUAACUGGAGGACCGAACCGACUAAUGUUGAAAAAUUAGCGGAUGACUUGUGGCUGGGGGUGAAAGGCCAAUCAAACCGGGAGAUAGCUGGUUCUCCCCGAAAGCUAUUUAGGUAGCGCCUCGUGAAUUCAUCUCCGGGGGUAGAGCACUGUUUCGGCAAGGGGGUCAUCCCGACUUACCAACCCGAUGCAAACUGCGAAUACCGGAGAAUGUUAUCACGGGAGACACACGGCGGGUGCUAACGUCCGUCGUGAAGAGGGAAACAACCCAGACCGCCAGCUAAGGUCCCAAAGUCAUGGUUAAGUGGGAAACGAUGUGGGAAGGCCCAGACAGCCAGGAUGUUGGCUUAGAAGCAGCCAUCAUUUAAAGAAAGCGUAAUAGCUCACUGGUCGAGUCGGCCUGCGCGGAAGAUGUAACGGGGCUAAACCAUGCACCGAAGCUGCGGCAGCGACACUAUGUGUUGUUGGGUAGGGGAGCGUUCUGUAAGCCUGUGAAGGUGGCCUGUGAGGGUUGCUGGAGGUAUCAGAAGUGCGAAUGCUGACAUAAGUAACGAUAAAGCGGGUGAAAAGCCCGCUCGCCGGAAGACCAAGGGUUCCUGUCCAACGUUAAUCGGGGCAGGGUGAGUCGACCCCUAAGGCGAGGCCGAAAGGCGUAGUCGAUGGGAAACAGGUUAAUAUUCCUGUACUUGGUGUUACUGCGAAGGGGGGACGGAGAAGGCUAUGUUGGCCGGGCGACGGUUGUCCCGGUUUAAGCGUGUAGGCUGGUUUUCCAGGCAAAUCCGGAAAACCAAGGCUG